CCCGGAAUUCUCACGAUCGCGUUUGGACGCCCACGAGAAAGGGGUACCCCUGGCCUUUCCCCGGCCUUUCCCCGGAAAGGCUCCCACGAGUGGAGACAUCGGGGAGGAAACCCUCGCUUCUUCUGUCUCGCACUCAUGAACGACUGGCGGCGGCGACUGGAAGACCUCCUCCGUCCACCGCUCAAGUCUCCUCCGUCCACCGCUCCUGCCUCCUCCGUCCGGCGACUGCGACACCCCUGCCCUCCUCCCUUCGACGCUCUGCCCCUCCAGAUGGGGCGACGGGACCGGGGUCGCCAUCCUACUACUUCCCAGAUCUCGUCUCCACCCCCAAGAUCUUCACCUUCCGAUGAUGACGACGGCCAGGAGAUCAUGCUCCUCUUCGUCCAAGAUCCAAGAGCCUCCUCUCCUGUUUGAGUUUUGUAUCACAAGAACCAAUACCGAAGAACAUCCAUCGUUUGCAGUAGUGUUUCUACCUGACUAUCCUGACCUCACAAGUGAGCACAAUCACAUCUACCUCCUUGUAAUGCUAAUCUACACACAAUGUUCUAGUAUAUUUCUGAAGGGGACUACUCAGCCUGUACUAGCUUUGUCCUAAUUUUAACUUAGAAUCUUUAGGAUAACCUGAAGUAUGCUUGUCUUGCCUAUAAUAACGGUGUAGCAUAAACGUACCAGUUAUUGGAAUUUAAUUGCGUUAAUGAAAGUAGCAUUAGUAUCAUGGUAACUGUUUAGUUUAAAAUUACUCUCAUUCAAGUUCUUCCCUUUUGUACCAAGAUAUGGAACCAAGGUUUGAGCAUAUGUAAUCUUGAUAAUUGGCCUUCGGUUUAAACUCUAUGGACCCAAGGGGACAUUCACUCCAUUAUCUCUGUCCAUUUUACACUUUUUGCGUACGCCAUUGAGUUGAUCUAUUGUUGUCUUAACUUCAAGCUUUAUUUGUAAAAAGUAUGUUAGUGGCAAAGUAAUUAAAAGAUGAAACCAUGUGCUAUUAAGAUUUUGAGUUUUCCUGCGGAUUAUUCAAAGAGAGAACAACAUCUUAUUAUGUUUGGAUCUGUUUGUUUGUGAAAGAUGCAUAUAAAUAAGAAUAUGUGCUUAUAUAUAUUUUGACUUCUGAAUUGAUAUUAUCUUUUUGUAAAGAAUUUUGACUUAUGAUGUGAUUGCAGCAAAGCCAAUUGAUAGUAUUAUCGAUGCAGUGCUAUUAAGUCAUCAAUUACUAAUGUACUGUUAGAAAACGGCCUUUACUGAUUGAAGGAGAAAAUUGCUACCAAGGAGAAAACAUAAGGUAUGUAAUUUUGAAGUACUCCCUUCGUUCCGAAUUACUUCUCGCAGAUAUGGAUGUAUCUAGAUGUAUUUUAGUUCUAGAUACAUCCAUUUUUAUGACAAGUAAUUUGGAACGGAGGGAGUACCAAUUUAGAGGUGCAGUUUUGUGUUUUCUUCCAUUGGGCAUUUUUCAAUUUGUUCAUGAAUUUGCACAUGUUAACUCAUAAGCAGAGGAAUAUCUUGUGGAGAAAACAGAGGGUGUAUACAAAUGAGUUCAUGCUCUUGUCAGUUUUUCGUUGGGAAUUAUCUUGUGUUUUUGUGUUAAUGCAUCUCUACAGCUUUAGCUGCUUAUGUCCAUCAUGUCGGCGCUGGCGACAUUGAACAUGUCGACGAUGGGGGCAGUGCCAUCCUUGACGAUUCAGUUCAGGAUCCCCCACUUGGCGGCGUCCUUGGCGCUGUAGCUCUCUUUCGGGUUCAGCCCGCAGCCGAUGGAGACGGCCAUGAACUUGCCGUAUGUUGGAAUAAACCCAAAUCUGCACCUAGUAUAUUUCUCUGCCAUGGUUUCCUAAAGCUAGCCAAUGAAAAUGUUCAAAGAAGUUGAUCUUGAAAGUUUCAGUAGUGACUAUCCCAGCAGCAACACAUUUUGGCAUGGAUGAUUUACACAGAUACAUGUUGAUAAUGGAACUAAAUGAUUAUUCUUGCUGGAUUUCUACCUUAGUUAGCAUUUCCUCUGUUAAACCAUGAUUAGCACGCUAAAUUUAUUCGCAGUGCCAUUAUUUGUGCGACUGAACAUGUAUAACUUAUGUCAGCAUGUUUGAUGUGGAUUGAAGUGUUUUUUUUUACA